CCCGGCUGCCUUUUGUUCUCUGCUACCUUCGCUCCUCAUUUCCCCUCCUGUUAACCCUGCAACUUUACUGCCAUGUGAUCUGAAACUUCCAUAUUGUCAGGGCACAUCAGAAGGCAUUCUUUCAUACACACACCUAAGCAUAGAAGACAAUAAAGACAGGAAAUGAGAUCAUCCAAAGCAGAACAUUGUUGAUAUGAGAGCG